rfam:Brachypodium distachyon strain Bd21 chromosome 3, whole genome shotgun sequence.
UGUUUGAUGUGAUGAAUCUCAAGAACGGUAUCUGAAAGGUGCCUUAAGUAGCGCUCCAUCCUUGAUUACACCUCCUAAACUGAUCAAAUAUUCUGAGCAAAUG